rnacentral:lncRNA from 1 species
UCAAAGAUAGGUAUGCAAAUUUAUUCUGACAAAACAAAACUUUAUUGUAUAAAGUGAAAAGUCAGAAAAAAUUGUCUUGGAUCUCUACUAAUCAACACUGCUUUUCUCAAAAUGGAAGUCCAAGAGAUCCAUCAUCAGAAAUUCUUUGUAGAUGAACUACAUGCUUUAGCCCUAAAAGGUGCCAAGGCCAGGCCCAGUCCAUUCCUUAAACAGGUUUUGGAGCAAGCCAAUAUUUAUCAUCCAAAUGGAUUCUACUCUGCAGUGCUCUUCAGGAGCCCAGAAAACUGUGAGAGGUGGCCUGAAGCUCAGAACCACUCCUGCUCCAGUGCUGCUUUUGCUCCUGAUGACCAGACACUCCUCCUGUCAUCAUGGCAGAGUUUUUAUCUUUCUGAAGUUACUGAAGGUGCUCUCUGCAUCUCAGACAGGCCCUGACUGAAUUAAAUAGAAGUUCACAUCAUACUUGUAUUUAUUUUGGUCCACACAAUUUUUUAGCACAUAAGAAAUCAGAAGCAAGAGCACAGAUAGGGUUAAGUUGCCCAACUGCUUGUCCCUCCCACAGUCACUGUCCCAUUUAAAAUGCAGCUCAAGGAUGGAGCCAGUGCAAUGGGGAGCAAGCAUGGAACAGAAGUGAGGUGCUACAAAAAAGACAGUAAAUGGCUGUGUAACUGACAAGUGCUGUAACAUGUAACCAAAGGAUACCUAAAAAAAAUUAUAUCAGCUAAUGUAAAUCUGGCACUUCCCAACUUCCAGACUUUCAAUUUAAAUGUUAUUACCCAUUUAAUGAAACCAUUGUGCUGUCCUGCAAUAUUUAUCUGCUGUAAUAAAAGACAAAAGUUACAGAUUAAUGAUGGCUUGUGAGUAUCAGAAGCAAAGUCUGAGUUUUUAACAGAGUUGAAAUACAUGUACACACCAUUUAAAACAGACCUGCUGGUAUUGGGGACCACUUCAAAUCAGUGUUAUGCACUGAAAGAAAUUCUGACACAUA